AUAAAUGGUUAUAUUAGUGCGGAUGAGUUGCGCUAUGUGAUGACGAAUCUAGGGGAGAAAUUACGGAACCAAGAAGUCGCGGAAAUGAUUCGAGAGGCGGAUAUGAACGGAGAUGGAAUGGUAGAUUAUAAUGAAUUUAUCAAGCUGUUGUGUAACACGGAGCCGACGAACUAAAAAAAUGCUGAAAAUUUUUAAAUAGAGAAAUAUUUCGUAUUUAUUAAUAUUUUAAUGUGAUCGCCAGUGCAAUGACGGUUUAUUUAUUUUAUCUGUUUUUGACAAUACUGCUCAGACUCUUUCGAAGUUAUUUUUAGAAACAUUGACGUGGUAAAACACAUUUCCCCGUAUAUCAUGCACAUCUGAAUUCAUUUUUUUUUUUAAAAAGACUUUUUCUUUCAGACUCAUGUUUGUAACAUUUUUUUAUUAUUUCAUUUUUUAAUUUUUACAUCUUUUACUGUCCUAUUCCUUAAUAUUUGUAAAUUUGUCAAUUGUGAUAUAAAGAGUUAAAAAGCACGA